AGCUUGCUCUCAUGAUCAGCGGCGGACGGGUGAGUAACACGUGAGCAACCUGCCUUUCAGAGGGGGACAACAGUUGGAAACGACUGCUAAUACCGCAUAAGCGCACAGCUUCGCAUGAAGCAGUGUGAAAAACUCCGGUGGUACAAGAUGGACCCGCGUCUGAUUAGCUGGUUCGGUGAGGUAACGGCCCACCAAGGCGACGAUUGGUAGCCGGACUGAGAGGUUGAACGGCCACAUUGGGACUGAGACACGGCCCAGACUCC
rnacentral:rRNA from 1 species